rnacentral:misc_RNA from 1 species
GAUGAAGAACGUAGCGAAAUGCGAUAAGUAAUGUGAAUUGCAGAAUUUAGUGAAUCAUCGAAUCUUUGAACGCACAUUGCGCCCCUUGGUAUUCCGAGGGGCAUGCCUGUUCGAGCGUCAUUAUAACCCCUCAAGCUCAGCUUGGUGUUGGGGCCUGCUGCACUGGCAGCCCUUAAAAUCAGUGGCGGCGCCAUCUGGCUCUAAGCGUAGUAAUUCUUCUCGCUAUGGAGUCCUGGUGGAUGCUUGCCAUCAACCCCCAAUUUUUCUAUGGUUGACCUCGGAUCAGGUAGGGAUACCCGCUGAACUUAAGCAUAUCAAUAAGCGGAGGA